ACGAAAAUUGCCUAGUGGACAUGGCAUCUGCCCGGUAAGCGGAAGGUCGUGGGUUCGAUUCCCGCCCCUGGACACUUUUAUU